GACGAACGCUGGCGGCGUGCUUAACACAUGCAAGUCGAACGGAAAGGCCCUGCUUUUGUGGGGUGCUCGAGUGGCGAACGGGUGAGUAACACGUGAGUAACCUGCCCUUGACUUUGGGAUAACUUCAGGAAACUGGGGCUAAUACCGGAUAGGAGCUCCUGCUGCAUGGUGGGGGUUGGAAAGUUUCGGCGGUUGGGGAUGGACUCGCGGCUUAUCAGCUUGUUGGUGGGGUAGUGGCUUACCAAGGCUUUGACGGGUAGCCGGCCUGAGAGGGUGACCGGCCUCAUUGGGACUGAGAGACGGCCCAGACUGCUACGGGAGGCAGCAGUGGGGAAUAUUGCACAAUGGGCGGAAGCCUGAUGCAGCAACGCCGCGUGCGGGAUGACGGCCUUCGGGUUGUAAACCGCUUUCGCCUGUGACGAAGCGUGAGUGACGGUAAUGGGUAAAGAAGCACCGGCUAACUACGUG
rnacentral:rRNA from 1 species